UACGUAGGGCGCGAGCGUUGUCCGGAAUUAUUGGGCGUAAAGAGCUUGUAGGUGGCUCGUUGCGUCGGGAGUGAAAACCUGCGGCUUAACCGCAGGCCUGCUUCCGAUACGGGCGAGCUAGAGUUCGGCAGGGGAGACUGGAAUUCCUGGUGUAGCGGUGGAAUGCGCAGAUAUCAGGAGGAGCACCGGUGGCGAAGGCGGGUCUCUGGGCCGAUACUGACACUGAGAAGCGAAAGCGUGGGGAGCGAACAGG
rnacentral:rRNA from 1 species